rnacentral:rRNA from 1 species
UACGUAGGGCGCAACGUUGUCCGGAAUUAUUGGGCGUAAAGAGCUCGUAGGUGGCUUGUCACGUCGGUGUGAAGCUUGGGCUUAACUCAGGUCUGCAUUCGAUACGGCUGGCUAGAGGUAGGUAGGGAGAACGGAAUUCCUGGUGUAGCGGUGAAUGCGCAGAUAUCAGGAGGAACACCGGUGGCGAAGGCGGUCUCUGGCAGUAACUGACGCUGAGGAGCGAAGCGUGGGAGCGAACAGG